GUCAUGUCAAUCAAUGCCAAAGAGAAAGAGGAGACUGACUGACUGAUCAAUGAAUAUGCAUAGAUCCAAACAGUAAAGGAGCUCCUGUUGGGCUCAGAGGUACUGUUCUUCUCAUCUCUUACAAGAGUUGUUCCUGCAUGCUGAAAGUCCUGCUGAGGAAGGAUGGGACAGUUACCAUUGGGUGUGUUUAAAAUGCUGCAGUCCUAAACACUUUGAUGCUUUUCAAAGGGAAUAGACAAACUUAGUAAAUUGUUAAAAGAAUGUUAAAAACAGACAAAGAAAAGGUAUCAAAGAGAAAUUAAAAGAAAUACAUAAAUAUAUAUAAAGACUGGCAUUUGUCAAAUACUAUUUCAUACAUCAAAUAUUAAUCGUAACAAAGGAUGUAGCUUGUUUAAAAUCUGCAUAUUAAUACACAGAGAAUAUUAUACUAUAAAGUGAGUAAUCAUUUGGAUAUAUGAUACUUGUGCGUGACAAUCCAUCACUAUCCUUAUUUGCUUUACAAAUUGCUACGUGGAACUGAUUAAUGGUGUUUUGUUCAUUAACAAGAGAGUCCUAGUUAUUUCUAACAUUCUCGAGGUUUCAGAUUUACUUAUGAAUAGAUCCUUGUAUUUUCAGAAUGCAAUAAGAUUGCUGUUUGAUGUUUUGCUCACUGGCAGUAACUGUCACCCUCCGUGGGCUAUGGAUGGAGAGGUGUCUGCAGCUAAGUGAAGUGAAAGCACAUGCUAUUGAUUGCCCACAGUUGGACCAUGGCACUGAGGCUGCAGCCUGAUGAUCUUAAACCUUGCUGGUGUUUUGUCUCAGUUACAUGAGAAGUGUAUGCUGGUGGCACAGUACCAAGGUAUCUCUGAAACUUCCAAAGCUGGCUGGAGCUGAAUGUUUUUACAAGAAGACAACCAAGCCUGCUUUUUAUUUUCCCAACCCAUCCUUACUGUGUACCUCAUCUCACCUUCCAGCAAACUGA
rnacentral:lncRNA from 1 species